CCUACGGGAGGCAGCAGUGGGGAUUAUUGGACAAUGGGGGCAACCCUGAUCCAGCGACGCCGCGUGUGUGAAGAAGGCCUGCGGGUUGUAAAGCACUUUUAGUGGGGAGGAAACGCUCAGACCUAACACGUCUGGGAACUGACUUAACCCAAAGAAAAAGCACCGGCUAACUCUGUGCCAGCAGCCGCGGUAAUACAGAGGGUGCAAGCGUUAAUCGGAAUUACUGGGCGUAAAGCGAACGUAGGCGGUUACCUAAGUCGGAUGUGAAAUCCCCGGGCUCAACCUGGGAAUUGCAUUCGAGACCUGGUGGCUAGAAUGCGGAAGAGGGAAGCGGAAUUUCCGGUGUAGCGGUGAAAUGCGUAGAUAUCGGAAGGAACAUCAGUGGCGAAAGCGGCUUCCUGGUCCAGCAUUGACGCUCAGGUUCGAAAGCGUGGGGAGCAAACAGGAUUAGAUACCCUGGUAGUCCACGCCAUAAACGAUGAGGACUAGACGUUGAGAGGGUUAGCCUCCCAGUGUCGCAGCUAACGCGCUAAGUCCUCCGCCUGGGGAGUACGGCCGCAGGUUUGAAACUCAAAGGAAUUGACGG
rnacentral:rRNA from 1 species